UUUUGUAUUUGCAAAAAUAGUCCAGGGACAGGCAUAUAGCAAGGUACCUAUUAUCUAUUAGUUGAAUUAAUUCCUAAAUUUCCUGGAAUAGCAUGGGCUCUCGCUCUUUGAUGCUCAGUUACCAGAUAUUUCUCAGCAGGGGAGGAUCCAGAAAGAAAUCAUUAGCGAUGAAGAAAGAGUACCCUUUGGGGAGGAUGCCCACGUUAACAGCCGUUGGGAUAGAAUCUCAUUAGAACUGGCCAAGUCACACAGAAGGUCCUGCAGCGGAGACCUGACUGCAAAAGAGGCCAGAAGCUGCGUGUGCACGAUGUGCACUGAGACCCGGCUGGAAAACUGGGAAGAAAGAAAUGUAGCUGCUAAGACGCGAGGCUAAGAGCAGAUCAUAAGGACCGAGGGGCUCGCCCUUACCACUGUCACAUG